UAGGCCGCGUCGGCCGCCAAUCAGCGCGCGGGGCGCUAGCGGGUGCCCGCGCGGGAGCUGGUGGGGCAGGCCGCGAGCGAGGGGCCCCGGCGCAGCCAGCGCACGAGCCGGUUCGUGCGUCUCGCGCGCCAGCAACCGAAGUCGGCGGGGCUGGGGUGGGAGAGGCAGGACCGGGCGAAACGCCGGCGGCGGGGGUUUGUGAAGCGGGUGUCGCAUGGGCCAUCCCCGCCACGGCUCGUGAAUUGAGGAGGGGCCGCACCUGGGCGUGUGCGGGGGGGAGAGGGGAAGGCGGCGGGGUCACAGCCGCAGUCGCUGAGCCAGAUUCAUUAGUGGGGGCUCGUGACGACAGUGAGGGAUACGGUAGCAACUGGUGACAGUUCACAGGGGCGGAGUAAAUGAUCCGAUGAGUAUGAACAAAGUUCUCUGUAGCCGCCUGAUUCAAGAUUUAACAUUUCUAAUGUAAGUAAAUUAUAGGCAUUCACAGCCCACCAUCGGGGUUGCCCCAUAUGCAAGUUUCUUGAGCAUUGCAUUUGUCAUAAA